rnacentral:rRNA from 1 species
GACGAACGCUGGCGGCGUGCUUAACACAUGCAAGUCGAACGAAAAGAGGGAAAGAGCUUGCUCUUUCCGGAAUUGAGUGGCAAACGGGUGAGUAACACGUAAACAACCUGCCUUCAGGAUGGGGACAACAGACGGAAACGACUGCUAAUACCGAAUAAGUUCCAAGGGCCGCAUGGCCCAUGGAAGAAAAGGUGGCCUCUACCUGUAAGCUAUCGCCUGGAGAGGGGUUUGCGUCUGAUUAGCUGGUUGGAGGGGUAACGGCCCACCAAGGCGACGAUCAGUAGCCGGUCUGAGAGGAUGAACGGCCACACUGGAACUGAGACACGGUCCAGACUCCUACGGGAGGCAGCAGUGGGGAAUCUUCCGCAAUGGGCGAAAGCCUGACGGAGCAACGCCGCGUGAGUGAUGACGGACCUUCGGGUUGUAAAACUCUGUGAUCCGGGACGAAAAGGCAGAGUGCGAAGAACAAACUGCAUUGACGGUACCGGAA